GUGAUGAUCAUGGAUGUACCCUUAUACAUAUGCUGAAAUGUUCUGCAAUGUUCUGUGAUGUUAUGUGAUGGCAUGUAAUUCAGAUUUUUAGAUGCCUGCGUGCAUCUUAAAUUGAUGUAUUAGAGACUUGCGUGUCUCAUGAAAAAGGGUUGUAAUUAUUCUUUUAUUUUUAAAGUUUAUCUGGGAUGUAAUCUGUGAUGUGUUUGCACGUCAAUGGUUGAUCGAUGCAUGCCUCUACAAGCACGCCUUGCGCGGAUCGAGAUCAAGGGUUGAUUGAAGAUGGAUCAAGAAGUUGAUCGCAAUUGAACCUAGGGUGCUCAAGAUCGAAUCAAGACUUGAAGACAAUCUAACCAAUUGACGUGCAUGUGCUUGUACUAUGACCCCAUCCUGGAUCCAUGAUCAUCACCAGUUUAACUUUUGUAUUAUGCCUGGAUGUUUAUGUUUAUGUUUAUGCAUAGCGGUUAGAUAAUUAUUUGCAUGAGAUGUAGAUAAUUAAAUGAAAGAGACCUAAAUUAAAUCUCCU
rnacentral:lncRNA from 1 species